CGGCAACAGCUCAAAUUUGAAAUCUGGCCUUCUGGUCCGAGUUGUAAUUUGUAGAGGAUGCUUUUGGUGCGGUGCCUUCCGAGUUCCCUGGAACGGGACGCCUUAGAGGGUGAGAGCCCCGUACGGUUGGACGCCUAGCCUCUGUAUAGCUCCUUCGACGAGUCGAGUAGUUUGGGAAUGCUGCUCUAAAUGGGAGGUAAAUUUCUUCUAAAGCUAAAUACCGGCCAGAGACCGAUAGCGCACAAGUAGAGUGAUCGAAAGAUGAAAAGCACUUUGAAAAGAGGGUUAAAUAGCACGUGAAAUUGUUGAAAGGGAAGCGCUUAUGACCAGACUUUUUCCAGGCGGAUCAUCCGGUGUUCUCACCGGUGCACUUCGCCUGGUCUAGGCCAGCGUCGAUUUUCGUAGGGGGAUAAAGGUUUAGGGAACGUAGCUCUCUCCGGGGAGUGUUAUAGCCCUUUACGUAAUACCUCUACGGGGAUCGAGGUUCGCGCUCUGCAAGGACGCUGGCAUAAUGGUCAUCAGUGACCCGUCUUGAAACACGGACCAAGGAGUCGAACAUUUGUGCGAGUGUUUGGGUGUUAAACCCUCACGCGUAAUGAAAGUGAACGGAGGUGAGAGCCCUUUAGGGUGCAUCAUCGACCGAUCCNNNNCCCGGCACCCAGAGUAACGCUCUGGGGUAUGGUAAUAACGCCCAUGGUACCGGAUGACCUGCAGCCAACCCCGCAAGAUAGGGGAGAGUUCACUGACUAGACAGUGGUGGGUCCCGCCGCGGCGGGGCUUAAG
rnacentral:rRNA from 1 species